rnacentral:rRNA from 1 species
AUUGAACGCUGGCGGCAUGCCUUACACAUGCAAGUCGAGCGGCUGAACGGGUGCUUGCCCUUGGUUGAGCGUCGCGCGGGUGUGUGAUGUCUAUGGAUCUGUGUCCUGUAGUGGGGGAUAGUCCGGCGACAGGCGGUUUAAUCCCGCAUAUGCUCUACGGAUGAGAGGGGGGGCCUCGCGCCUCUCGCGCUCAGGUGAUGGUCGAUGGCAGAUUAGCUAGUUGGUGGGGUAAAGGCCUACCAAGGCGACGAUCAGUAGCUGGUCUGAGAGGAUGAUCAGUCACACUGGAACUGAGACACGGUCCAGACUCCUACGGGAGGCAGCAGUGGGGAAUUUUGGACAAUGGGCGAAAGCCUGAUCCAGCCAUGCCGCGUGUGUGAAGAAGGUCUUCGGAUUGUAAAGCACUUUAAGUUGGAAAGAAAGCCAGUAACCUAAUACCGUCGUGUUUUGACGUUACCGGAAGAAUAAGCACCGGCUAACUUCGUG